UUCCAGAAAAUAUGCAUAAAAGAAAGGACCUUACAAGACAACUUGCAUGGAUACUCUGAAGCAACUUUGAGGUCUCCUUGAUGAGGAAAGUUGGCUGAACCUGCUGUAGAGUAGGCCCACAGCCAAGCCAUUGAGAGACAAGUCCAUGGGAGACAAAUUAUCUCAUGCAGCUGAGAUGUCCUGGAGAUUUUCCACAGCACCACUUGGCCAGUGCCUGGACAAGGCAAUCUUCCCCAGUCGUCAACACAGACACCAAUGGAUCUGAAUUCAGUCAUUGUCGACUGGUGUUCUGCCUGUCCUAGAUGUCAUGUAAGUGGAUUUAAAUAACUGCUCUUGUGUCUGACUCCUUUUGUUCAGCGUGGUGCUUUUGAGAUUUAUCUAUGUCA